rnacentral:SRP_RNA from 1 species
GCCAGGCACGGUGGCAUGUGCCUGGAGUCCCAGUGACCAGGGAAGCUAAGGCUGUGGAGGUUCACUUGAAGCCAGGAGUUCCGGGUUGCUAUGCCAAGUGGGUGUCCACACUAAGUUUGGCAUCAAUAUGGUGACCUCCUGGGAACGGGGAACCACCAGGUUGCCUAAGGAGGAGGCAGGUCAGAAAUGGAGCAGGUCAAAACUCCCAUGAUCAGUAGUGGGACGACGCCUGUGAAUAGCCACUGCACUCCAGUCUGGGCAACAUAGAGAGACCCUGUCUCA